CGAGCGGCUGUCUGGUGAGUNACACGUGGGUAACCUGNCCANGAGACUCGGGAUAACACCUGGCAACAGAUGCUAAUUCCGGAUAACAUCACUAGACGCCUGUCUCGAGUUUAAGAGAUGGUUCUGCUAUCACUCUUGUGAUGGACCUGCCUGUGCAUUAGCUAGUUGGUCAGGUAACGGCUUACCAUUGUUUGUUGCAUACCGAGUUGAGAGACUGAUCGNCCNCAUUGGCCACUGAGACACGGCCCANACUCAUACGGGAGGCACUAGUAGGGAAUCUUCCACAAUGGGACGCAAGUCUGAUGGACACCCCGCGUGAGUGAAGAAGGUUCGGCUCGUAAAGCUCUGUUGGUAGUGAAGAAAGAUAGAGGUAGUACUGGNCUUUAUUUGACGGUAAUACUUAGAAAGCACGGCUAACUAC
rnacentral:rRNA from 2 species